UGCAGUACCAGCCCAAACCAGCAGGGGUCUGACAUUAGUUGCUUUUAACCCAGAAUGACAUCUCUGCUGUGAUCCUGUGAAUGAACCUGAGGAGGUGGCAGGAAGUGGCAAGAAUCCAAACUACCCAUGUUCAAAACUGUAUCUUCAACAGGCUCUCAGACAGAGGAAAUCCAUCUGUUUUCAUCUUCACCACAACCUGAAGAGUGAGGUGUGUAAUGAUGAGCAAAUGAAAUACUAGAUGGAA